GUCAGUACGGAGUUCAAUGUCAAUAUCAGAGGAACUGCAAUUGCCAUCGCACUACCGGGUUUCGCAAUCACAGUUUUUGGAUAUUCGGCUAACGCGCUAACGUAACAUAAUUUCCGUACGCGAUAUUUAUUAUUUCUAUUCCCGUUACUACCGUUUUCCGUCGCGUGUAUAUUAUUAUACAUUCACGGCAGUCGUUGUAUCUUGAAUAAAAAUAAAUUACGCGACAGUUUGUUUCGGCAUUUGUCGUCGGUUUAUAACAGUACACGUUAUACAUUAAAAUAAUAUCAAGGCGUCUUCGUAUCGUCCGUCCGACAUGUACCCGAACCCAUGGAUCAGAAAACACUCGACCAUCAGACAGGUGAUAGACAAGCUGUUGUCGAUCAACACGAACAAGACGAAGAAGUUUGACGCGAUGUUGAACAAGAAAAAGCACACCGGAAGUAACAGGACGACGACGACGGCGGCGGCGGCGGCGACGGCGGACAAGCGACGCAAACAUUAGCCUCGGCCGGGCGUAAAACGAAAUUCGAUCAGCGGUAUUUUUUUUCGCGCACGGCCGUGUAGAGUAACGCUACACUCGCUAUAAAAAAUGUGUCCGUCCGAAAAUGUUCCUACUUAUUUAUAAUGUAUUAUUGUAUUAUUGUAUCAUACCAUUUGUGACGCCAGAGAGACGCGCUGCGGCUCUUUCCACCGCCGAAAAAUCCGAAGAAUAUAAUUUAAUAUAUACCUAUAGCGUACAUAAUAUACGUUUACUUACGUUACGUACCCUCGUAUCGUGUUAAAACUAUAGUAUAGUAUUAUAUAGCUAUAUAGUAUAAAAUAAUCGUGGCUACAAACGAAGACACCGUGUUCAAUAUCAAUGAUAAAUAAUAGCUAUUAUAUAUAUGCCGAUUGUAAAUAUAUUUAUAUAAUAUGCCGUACAAGUAUACCACUACGUCUCACACGAGUUCACGAGCUAUUUGUUGGUCGUUCAGAUAUUUAAACAGUACAACGUCUGGAUUGAGAUAUAACCACAUCGUUAUAUUAUGUACUCACACGUUUUCUGUUGGUCCGCAUUACCGUAAAUUUAGUCAAAACGGAUUUGGACUACAUGUAUAAUAUCAUAAUCACCAUCAUUGUCAUCAUCAUCAUCAUCAUCAUCAUAUUAAACUGACGAUCGUGCAGGUUGAUUCGCGUUCCGUGGAAAAAUGAACGACACAUCAUCUACAGCUAUACGAUUUACGUCAAAACAGAUUAAAAUUGUAUUUAUUUAUACCGUUUGAUCAGAAAACCCAUUGGAAUUGCGAAUACUACUUGAAGAUGUAAACAACGACUUUUAAUUUAUACUGUUUUCGACGUACGUCCUUAUGGCAUUGUUUUAUUUUUAUUUUUACGUGUAAUAUUUGUAUUAUUUAAU